rnacentral:lncRNA from 1 species
GGAAGCUUGGCCCCUGGUGCUGAGAUACCAGGGGAUGGGACCUGUGAGCUCUGAUGGGCAGUGUCGGUCAUGGCGACGCUGCUCGGGGAGGGCCUGGGGAAUCCUAACCAGCAUGGGCUGCACGCGAGCAAGCCUGACCCAGUGUCUGGCUUCCUGUCCGGUGACACAAUGUCUUUCUACGGCCUCACUGCAGGCUGAGCUAGUGCAGGCAUCAUGACCCUGCCCCUCAGCAACUGUGGGCUAAACAAACCUCUUUUCUUUAUAAAGCUCUUCAGCCUUGGGUAUUUUGUUAUAGCAACAAAAAACGGAAUUUUAAAAAUAUCUGCUUAAUAUUCCGUAAUUGCAGGGUUGGAAAAACCAGAAGGUGCAAAUCGCCCCCGGAGAGCUUGUGUUAUGCAUCUGGCACAUUUCCCCUGCCACUGGCUUUCCGUGAGGUCAGAAGACCCGGCAGGUGACAGACUGAGUGGGUGCUGACGAGCUGGUGUGCAGCCCUUCCGGGGUGUUGAGGGACGUCCCAGAGGCCACGUGGACACCGGUGUGACCCACAGCGGGGCAGGCAUCCCCCUUUCCCAUGCUGGGUCGGAGCCAGGCAACCCAAAGGGAGAAUGUACCCUUCUGGGCCACGUCCCACUUAGCUGCCACCCCACUGCACCCCACCGACCCUGCGCUCAGCUCUGACACAGAGGCGUGGACACGCGGCAAAGGCCUUCCCAUGGGGCCUGGGGGGCUGCAGGGACAUGAGGUGGGGACACCAUCUCGGCUCAGAUGGACGCGUGUUUUCCUAGCUGGAUCCUGUGCAGAGGGAGUGUGGCAGCCGCACUGUCACGGGAAGCAGCUUCCAUCACUACCAGUGUUUUCUGGGUGAGGCCCCGCUCCUAGUCCAAGGUCAUCCUGGAGGGAGAGGGUGUCAUGAACACCCUGACUCCAGACCUCAGGGAGCCCCACUCCAA